CCUACGGGUGGCAGCAGUGGGGAAUAUUGCACAAUGGGGGAAACCCUGAUGCAGCGACGCCGCGUGAGUGAAGAAGUAAUUCGUUAUGGAAAGCUCUAUCAGCAGGGAAGAAAAUGACGGUACCUGAGUAAGAAGCCCCGGCUAACUACGUGCCAGCAGCCGCGGUAAUACGUAGGGGGCAAGCGUUAUCCGGGUUUACUGGGGGUAAAGGGGGAGUAGACGGCAGUGCAGGUCUGGCGUGAAAGGCGGGGGCUCAAACCCCGGACUGCUCUGGAAACUGGAGGGCUGGAGUGCAGGAGAGGUAAGUGGAAUUCCUAGUGUAGCGGUGAAAUGCGUAGAUAUUAGGAGGAACACCAGUGGCGAAGGCGGCUUACUGGACUGUAACUGACGUUGAGGCUCGAAAGCGUGGGGAGCAAACAGGAUUAGAUACCCUUGUAGUC
rnacentral:rRNA from 1 species